GAUCAAAAAAUAAAAACACAAAUAAACCCUAUCUAAUCUGAUACUUCACAAUUGGUGAUUCCCCUCCCAAUAAUGUUCAACCCUUUGUUAAAUCGACUACAAUGCCGGCCAAUCCAUGCUUAAUAACGUUAAGCCCUUUGUCGAUGGCUACCAAAUGUUCUUCAUCUCAAAACCCUAGACCCAGCUCUACAACAAUAAAGCAAGUAUGCUACAAUGCUCCGACCCGAACCCUCUUCAUCUCGAAACCCAACCCAUUACUUCCUGAUCGAGAUUUAACGGAUUUUCUUCUUGUUCAAGAUUCCAGUAGCGAGGCGACAUUUUUUUCUUACAAAUUCGGUUCAUGAUAGCGUAGAUUAAAUGCUACUUGGAUUCUGAUCCACUCGAUGGAUAGUAAGAAUGUGCCUUUUUUGCUACUUCGAUGGAUGUCAUCUACUAUGAUAUUAGAGGUUUGGUAAGCCUUUGUUAUAUUUUGUUACUGUGGCAUCUAAGUGAAGUAUUUCAAAUUAAAUCACAAAAUUCUUUAUCAUUUCCUUUUUGUCCAUACUCCAUAGUAUAAUUUUACAGCUUAGUUCUUUAUUUAAAGAUUGUCCAUGUAUAAAAAAAAUACAUAUGCUUUUGUUUAUGGCUUCACAUAUUCUAUUACUUUUAAGAAAAAAAAGGUUUUUGGGGACUUAUGAGGUCAAAUUUGACUAUAAGGAUUUUUCAUUUUGAGGAAUCUGAUUAAGUUAAUAAUAUGUGAAUCUAUAUAUUUUAUGGAAAAUCUUAAUACAUCAAGUUUUCAGCACUACUUGUGGGUUCAGAAGUUGUGAAAGUAUUGACUAAGUGUGUGCGUGUGAGUGUUACAAUUAAUUAAUAAUUCUAAGUGUGUACUUUGGGUAGUGGCAUGCUCCAUGUGGCACAUACAAGCUUAAACUUACCCUUGAAGAUCCUACGACCAGAAGCCAAGCAUAUUUAUACAAAAUGCAAAACCUAAUUUCUUUCAACAUUUUUGUCUGGAUUAGUGGUUGGUUUUGUGUCAGCGUGGAAGCUUGCUAGGCUCAAUGGCUCCUGGUCAACAGUUAUCUGCAAUUAAUUAGGAUUUGAAAGUGCGGUGGCGGUACCAGUGCCGGAAGAGAAACCGGUGGAGAUUAUAGAAGAGAAGACAACGGUUGUGGUUGAAACAAAUGAGAGUUUGAAUGUUUGGCAGGCCAACGAAGAUAAAGUGGCUGAUAAUGGAACUGAUUGUUCAAAGUGUAAGUUUUUUUGAAAUUAUUAAGUUUAUGUUUUCGGCGUUUUAGUCUAACUAUAACUAGAUAUAGUGUUUUAUGAUCUAUAUCAGCUAUGGUUGAAAUUUAAAAGUACUUGCCUAUGAAGAUAUCUGUUGACUUAAUUAGAGAAUUUAAAUAGAUAAUGUCAAGUUUAGGUUUUGUUAGCAUAUGCAAAUGCUUCAUACUUGAGCAAAAGAAUCAAUAGGCUUAUUUUACCAAAACAGGUAUAGAAUUUUGAAAUUGUUAAUCACUGUUUUGUAACCUAUUGCAAAUUAGUUUUUGUUUAAAGGCUAGACACACACUCACCACACUACUUCCAAAUUACACCUUGCUCAAGGUUAGAACUUGGGUCUUCUCCAAAGAAGCUUUGCUUCUUACCACUGAGCUACGAUCCAAGUGGCAACUGCAAAUUAGUUAAUAAUGAAAGGGUUUCUUUUUUUUUAAUCAAAGUGAUAACUCAAACUGCAAAAUCAUAUGAUAACUAGUGAAAAGAUAGAGGGGUUAAAGGUUAAAAUCCAAAAAGUUAUUUGACCCUAAAAAGCUAAAACACAGAACGCAGCCACUCUUUUUCUUCUUCUCUUUUUCUUCCUGACUUCUGGUGGUCGGAAUCCCGCUAUAAUCACGCUAUGGAGCCGCUAACUAACAUAUUGCGAGAUAUGGUCGAUUCGCUACGAAGCGCGCGAUAGCGAACGCUAUGUUCGCUAUCGAUAACUAUGUAUGAAAUGAACAAAUCUACUAUUAAAUGAAUGCACAGGUAGUUAUACUAAAUGUAGCAUAAGUUAACAGGGUGUUUGGAUUAAUAACAUCACUUCUGCCUAUUUAUGGGUCAAAUAAAUUUUGAUAAUCGGUUUCAUAUUGGCCGUCAUAACUAAGUGUCAAAAGGUAAAAUAAAUUUUUAUUUUAUUUUAAUCUAAUUUGAUACGUGUCUGUGUCUGAUUCCAGUAUUUUUAUAUACAUAAUCAGCAGUUUUCAAGCACACAUCAAACAAAUGUCAUACACAUUAAAGUUCAGUGCUGUAUAGUCUUGUUUGAAUUGCAGGCGACUACAUUGAAGACGCUACGUCUUCAUAGAGAUAUGUUGGAAGCACUAGACAAUGUAUGUGAAGGCCACCUGACAUUGAAGCUUGGGUUUAGCUGCCGGUGGAAAUAACAUACUUGAAGCUUACUCAAACCCCAAAGGUGCCAGCUGCAGAUACUGCUUAUUGCUAUAAUGCUUCACCUUUCUUAACAAAGUCUAGUAAAUGAUGAAAACAAAGGAGAUGCAGCUCACCCAUAUUUUUGUAAGAAGGUACUUGACUCGCAUCUUAUCUUUAACUGAAACCUAUUAUUAGAUCGAAAACGAAAAAAAUCAGUUGUUGCACGGUAUUGCCCAAAGGCGAACAAGUUGCCGGUAGGAUCACGUGUGGUGAGAAAUUUGGAUUUUCAAAGUCGCAUUUACGGUGAACAUUUACCAAUCACAAAGAACCUGAACGCAACAAGAAGGUAAUAAAAAAAUGUUGAAGACAUGCCUUGCUCUAUUAUUUGAUCAUAGUAUUUGCAACACUUUCAAGUCAAAAAGCAUCGACUAUACAGACAUGAAGAAAACAACCUAUAAAUAGUUCAUAGUUUAUGUGUAUUAUCAUUUCCUUUUUCAACUUUUGUAGAUAGAUUUCAUGAGAAAUUUGUUAUUACGGCUUAAACUUAUGUAUGAAUUUUGGUUUAUUAUUGUUAAGAUCAUUUGUUUUUA